rnacentral:lncRNA from 1 species
UGAACAGUUGUAGUUUGAUUUGUCUGAUGGUAAUGAGACACACCAAGUGUGCCAUGUGGAAAGAGUUUGUGAGUUUGCUCAUGUAGGCCAGUUUCUGUUCAUAAGCUGUAUGAAUUUGGAAAGUCAUUUAAGUCUUUGAUCAUGUGGAUUAAGAGUUGUGGCCCUUUCCCUCAUUUUAUCUGAUAGGUAUGGAACAGCUCCCAGGUGUUUUACUCCUGUGUCUUGUACAAACAUGAGUUUCUGAAGAGUUUAUACUGGUGUCAUGGAGGUGUGUUAAUGUGAAGACUGAGCAAAGAUUCACAUUACUUCAGUAACCUGAAACUUUUUAAAACUA